UUUCAGUUCAUUCGGAGCGAUGGCUUCUAAAGGCAGCGGGACGAUGGAGGUGGCGGCGCUCGGACGGCCUUUCAGCCUCGGGAUGUUGUACGACUGCCGCAACGACUCUCUUGUCCCUGGAAUGACUUUGUGGGACCGUGAGGACCUUAAAAAGAAUAUUGGAGAAAGACCACAGAGCUAUAAUGAUUUUGAAAUAGUUGCAUCUGAAACAAUUGAGGACAAAUCU